UGUGUGAAAAUAGUGGCCACGGUUAACAUACGCUCCUAAAAAGAGUGAGAUCUGGGUUCGAAUCCCGGCUGACGCAA